rnacentral:rRNA from 1 species
UACGAAGGGUGCAAGCGUUACUCGGAAUUACUGGGCGUAAAGCGUGCGUAGGCGGUUUGUUAAGUCCGUUGUGAAAGCCCUGGGCUCAACCUGGGAAUUGCAGUGGAUACUGGCGAGCUAGAGUGCGGUAGAGGAUGGUGGAAUUCCCGGUGUAGCGGUGAAAUGCGUAGAGAUCGGGAGGAACACCCGUGGCGAAGGCGGCAUCCUGGACCGAUACUGACGCUGAGGAGCGAAAGCCAGGGGAGCAAACGGG